rnacentral:lncRNA from 1 species
CUUAUUUUGUAUCUAUAUUUAUCACAUUUAGUUAGACGAAAUGUAGACACUGGAACUGUAGAGUUCGUAUGUGCAACACUUUUGUUAAUAUAAGAUGCAGAUUUAUUUGAAAUUUGACAAAUGUAUUCCUUAAAACUAGAUCUUUAAGAUACACAAGAUAUAUCAAUCUUACUUUUGAAGUGUUUUCGGGAAGAUUUCUGUUCCCUUUAAAGAACAGAGUGGACAUAAAAAGCUAUUUAAAAUCGAAUAAGGAAUUAUAAAAAUAAACUAAAUAAGAAAUAAAUAUGAAUAAAACAAAUACUGAAAAUAGUUUAUGUUCAGCGAAUACCAUAUUUGAAAAAUAAUUACACUGCUCUGAGACUUUAACACGUGUUGACACCAGUAUUUUCAUGAACGAUAUAAAUAUUAGAAUUUCAUGCAUUGAUUUAAAUUGUAUCACUAAUGAAAUACAGUCCAUCUCCACAGAAAUGAUUGUCCAUAACAUAAAAAACAUAAGAUCAAAACAAUGGAAUUGCUGACUGCAAUACUGGUUAUAAAAUGGUUAGGUUUCCAUUCACUUAGAUUGUAUCACAAUGGAAGUACGCCAAAGACAACAAGAGUUGUCUCAAACAUGGCGGGAAGAAAGAUGCAAACAGUAUCUUUAAGUUAAGUAAAUAUUAUUUUUUCUUUUUAAGGUUUUAAUACUUCAUAUUAUAAUCAGGAUGUGUGUUUUAUUGCUAAGACUUGUAAUAGUUGAACGGGAGAGAAGUGUGGAGAGAGGGAUGUAUUCCAACAUUAGUUUUAUCUUAAUAAAUUAUUUUUCUUCACAUUACUGCAUGACAUUCCAAACCACAUCCUUUGAAAACAGAUGUCCGUACUACAUGUUUUAAAUACUCGAUACAUAUAUUAAUAUUUUAAGCAGCAAGAAAAAUAAAAAAAAAUAAUAGUCGCACGUGUUCAGCUUAUAUAGAAGUUGCAUACAUUUGUUACUGACAAUGCUUGCCUGUUAUUAUCAUUUUCAGGUAAAUGUUCCAUAUAUCUGUGGCUCUAACGUAAUUUCUUACAGCAACAUUGAUCAAAACUCCUAAAUAAUACAUUACGGAACAUAAAAAGCCUGGUAUUUCAAUAAUGUGUACUAGAAUGGAACCUUGCAAAGCUUUGAAGCUAUUGAAGUGUUUCUUUUUUCAAAGAUGGAAAACAACAAUCAAUAGGCAGGAUAUCUUCCUCAAAUGGCUAUUGGAAAAGUUUGCUGUGAUCAUUAACAUUCAAACCGGAUCAAAUUUUUAAUAAAUCUUGGAAUACUCCUUGGCAUAAUUAAGAAAUGUUAUUAUUGGUGAUAUUUUAAUCGGAUUUAAUUUUCAAUACAGUUCGGAAUAUUCAUACAUAUAUUGAAGGUAUUUAUCAUUGAUGAUAUCCAAAUGAAGUCAAUGUUUAAUACAAGUUGGAUUAUUAAAGCUAUAGUAAAGGAAUAUAAUUAUCGGUAUUGUAAUAAUGUGUACUAGAAUAGAACCUUGGAAAGUUUUAAAGCUAUUGAGGUUUUUCCUUUUUUUCCGGACGGUGGAGAACAACAAUCAGUAUGCACGACAUCUUUUUCAAAGGGCUACUAGUUUACUACAAUCUGUUUCACCUGGCAAUUAUUUUUUAUUGAUCAGAGUUGAAAAUGUCGCCACUUGUGGUUUUGGUAUAAGAUAUUACAUGACUAGACUAUAUAUCCAAGCAGGAUUAAAUGUUUAAUGGAAUAUACAUAGAUAUAGAGGAGUAUAACUAAUUGAGAGAAAGUUUUAAUAUAAUAAUUAAUAUGUUUUCAAAUUGGAUUUAAAUUUUCAACUGAGUUUGAAAUAUACAUAGAUUAGUGAGGGAAUAUAAUUAUUGUGAGUAGGUUUUAUCAUAAUUUGUGUAUUCAAAUUGGAUCUAAUUUUCAGUAUUUGGAAUAUACAUAGAGAGUGAAUAUUUGUGAUAUUCAGGUCGGAUUAAAUUUUCAACACCAUUCGGAAUAUUUAAAUAUAAAGUGAAGGAAAAUAAUUAUUGGUGAUUAGGUUUUAUUGUGAUCAUUAACAUUCAAACCGGAUUAAAUGUUUGAUAAAAUUUAGAAUAUACCCAUAGUGAAAUAGUGAAAAAAUGUAAUUAUUGGCGAUGUUCUAAUCUGAUUUAAUUUUCAAUACAAUUCGGAGUAUUCAUACAUAAUUAUAUUGAAGGUAUUUUAUCAUCUAUGAUAUUCAAAUCGAAGUCAAUGUUUAAUACAAGUUGUAUUAUGUAAAGCUAUAGUAUAGGAAUAUCAGUAUCGGUGAGUAUUUUCUUA